rnacentral:rRNA from 1 species
GACGAACGCUGGCGGCGUGCCUAAUACAUGCAAGUCGACCUUAGUGGCGAACGGGGGAGUAACCCGUGGGUAACCUGCCCAUCAGAAGGGGAUAACACUUGGAAACAGGUGCUAAUACCGUAUACUGAUGGAUGGACCCGCGGUGCAUUAGCUAGUUGGUGAGGUAACGGCUCACCAAGGCCAAGAUGCAUAGCCGUCCUGAGAGUGUGAUCGGCCAUAUGGGGACUAAGACACGGCACAAACUCAUACGGGAGGCAGCAGUAGGGAAUCUUCGGCAAUGGACGAAAGUCUGACCGAUCAACGCCGCGUGAGUGAAGAAGGUUUACGGAUCGUAAAACUCUGUUGUUAGAGAAGCGGUAUCUAACCAUAAAGCCACGGCUAACUACGUGCCAGCAGCCGCGGUAAUAC